AGAGUUUGAUCCUGGCUCAGAAUGAACGCUGGCGGCGUGGCUAAAACAUGCAAGUCGAACGAGACCGUUUGCUUUUAUAGGAACUUUUAAAGUGGCGAAAGGGCGAGGAAUACACGGGUAACGUACCCUUGGCACAAGGAUAGCUGCGGGAAACUGCGGGUAAUACUUGAUGAGACCACAGUGUCUUAUGGCACAGUGAUCAAAGGACGGGGCUCCCUUCGGGGACCUGUCGGCCAGGGAGCGGCCCCUGUGCUAUCAGCUAGUUGGUGAGGUAAUGGCUCACCAAGGCUACGACGGCUACCGGGACUGAGAGGUCGAUCCGGCGCAUCGGGACUGAGACACUGCCCGGACUCCUACGGGAGGCUGCAGUAACGAAUAUUCCACAAUGGACGAAAGUCUGAUGGAGCGACGCCGCGUGCAGGAGGAAGCCCCUCGGGGUGUAAACUGCUGUCAGGGAUUACCAAGCAAGCAGGCCUAAUAUGUCUGUGCGUUGAGGAGUCCCACAGGAAGUCACGGCUAACUUCGUGCCAGCAGCCGCGGUAAUACGAAGGUGGCGAGCGUUAUUCGAAAUCACUGGGCUUAAAGAGCAUGUAGGCGGCCUAUCAAGCGUUGUGUGAAAUCCCUCGGCUCAACCGAGGAACUGCAUGGCGAACUGGCAGGCUUGAGGCAAGUAGGGGCGAGUGGAACUCUUGGUGGAGCGGUGGAAUGCGUAGAUAUCAAGAGGAACGUCGGAGGCGAAGGCGACUCGCUGGGCUUGACCUGACGCUGAGAUGCGAAAGCUAGGGUAGCGAACGGGAUUAGAUACCCCGGUAGUCCUAGCCCUAAACGAUGUCAACUAGACCGGAGGACUUCUGGCAGUUUUCCGGUCGGAGCAAAAGUGUUAAGUUGACCGCCUGGGGAGUACGGUCGCAAGGCUAAAACUCAAAGGAAUUGACGGGGGCUCACACAAGCGGUGGAGCAUGUUGCUUAAUUCGAUGCAACGCGAAGAACCUUAUCCUGGGCUUGACAUGUUCGGAUGCCUCUCUGGAAACAGAGUCGGUUGCCUUCGGGUGAAACGAUCACAGGUGCUGCAUGGCUGUCGUCAGCUCGUGUCGUGAGAUGUUGGGUUAAGUCCCGUAACGAGCGAAACCCUUGUCGCUAGUUGCCAGCGCGUAAUGGCGGGGACUCUAGCGAGACUGCCGGUGUCAAACCGGAGGAAGGUGGGGAUGACGUCAAGUCCUCAUGGCCUUUAUGCCCAGGGCUGCAAACGUGCUACAAUGACCGGUACAAACCGAAGCAAGACCGCGAGGUGAAGCGAAUCCCACAAAGCCGGUCUCAGUUCGGAUUGCAGUCUGCAACUCGACUGCAUGAAGCCGGAAUCGCUAGUAAUCGCGCAUCAGCAUGGCGCGGUGAAUACGUUCCCGGGCCUUGUACACACCGCCCGUCAAGUCAACCGAAUUGGCUGCACCCCAAGUCGCUGAGCUAACCCGUAAGGGAAGCAGGUGCCCAAGGUGUGGUUGGUGAGGGGGACUAAGUCGUAACAAGGUAACCGU
rnacentral:rRNA from 1 species